rnacentral:rRNA from 1 species
UACGAAGGGGGCUAGCGUUGCUCGGAAUGACUGGGCGUAAAGGGCGCGUAGGCGGUUUGUACAGUCAGGUGUGAAAUUCCCGGGCUCAACCUGGGGGCUGCACUUGAUACGUAUGGACUGGAGUGGGGAAGAGGGUCGUGGAAUUCCCAGUGUAGAGGUGAAAUUCGUAGAUAUUGGGAAGAACACCGGUGGCGAAGGCGGCGACCUGGUCCUUGACUGACGCUGAGGCGCGAAAGGGUGGGGAGCAAACAGG